ACGCCGCGUGAAAAAAGAAGACCUUCGGGUUGUAAACUUCUCUGAUUGGGGACGAAGAAAGAGACGGUACCCAAAGAACAAGNCCCGGCUAACUACGUG
rnacentral:rRNA from 1 species